AUUGAACGCUGGCGGCAUGCCUUACACAUGCAAGUCGAGGGGUAUUGGUUUUCGGACCAAGAGACCGGCGCACGGGUGCGUAACGCGUAUGCAAUCUACCUUUUGCAGAGGGAUAGCCCCAGAGAAAUUUGGAUUAAUACCUCAUAGUAUAGUACUUUGGCAUCAAGGAACUAUUAAAGUCACAACGGCAAAAGAUGAGCAUGCGUCCAUUAGCUAGUUGGUAAGGUAACGGCUUACCAAGGCUACGAUGGGUAGGGUCCGUGAGAGGGA
rnacentral:rRNA from 1 species